GACGAACGCUGGCGGCGUGCUUAACACAUGCCAGUCGAACGGAAAGGCCCUGCUUUUGUGGGGUGCUCGAGUGGCGAACGGGUGAGUAACACGUGAGUAACCUGCCCUUGACUUUGGGAUAACUUCAGGAAACUGGGGCUAAUACCGGAUAGGAGCUCCUGCUGCAUGGUGGGGGUUGGAAAGUUUCGGCGGUUGUGGAUGGACUCGCGGCUUAUCAGCUUGUUGGUGGGGUAGUGGCUUACCAAGGCUUUGACGGGUAGCCGGCCUGAGAGGGUGACCGGCCACAUUGGGCCUGAGAUACGGCCCAGACUCCUACGGGAGGCAGCAGUGGGGAAUAUUGCACAAUGGGCGGAAGCCUGAUGCAGCAACGCCGCGUGCGGGAUGACGGCCUUCGGGUUGUAAACCGCUUUCGCCUGUGACGAAGCGUGAGUGACGGUAAUGGGUAAAGAAGCACCGGCUAACUACGUG
rnacentral:rRNA from 1 species